GACGAACGCUGGCGGCGUGCUUAAUACAUGCAAGUCAACUGAACUUUAGGUAGCAAUAUUUAAAGGGAGGUGGCGCACGGGUGAGUAACACGUAGGUAAUCUGCCUUCAGGACUGACAUAAUUCCGCGAAAGCGGGACUAAAAUCAGAUGAUGCAGCGGCUCGACAUCGAGACAGUUGUUAAACCUUCGGGGGCCUGAAGAUGAGCCUGCGUCUGAUUAGGUAGUUGGCGGGGUAAAAGCCCACCAAGCCUGCGAUCAGUAGCUGGUCUGAGAGGAUGAUCAGCCACACUGGAACUGAGACACGGUCCAGACUCCUACGGGAGGCAGCAGUAAGGAAUAUUGCUCAAUGGCCGAAAAGGCUGAAGCAGCAACGCCGCGUGGAGGAUGAAAUACUUUAGUAUGUAAACUCCUGUAAGAGGGGAAAAAUAUACAGCUAUGCUGUGUUGAUUGUACCCUCAGAGUAAGCACCGGCUAACU
rnacentral:rRNA from 1 species